AUUGAACGCUGGCGGCAGGCCUAACACAUGCAAGUCGAGCGGAGCGGCGGACGGGUGAGUAAUGCCUAGGAAUCUGCCUGGUAGUGGGGGAUAACGUCCGGAAACGGGCGCUUAUACCGCAUACUAUCACUUGCGCAUAGAUGGGAUUAGCUAGUUGGUGGGGUAAAGGCCUACCAAGGCGAAGAUCCGUAACUGGUCUGAGAGGAUGAUCAGUCACACUGGGACUGAGACACGGUCCAGACUCCUACGGGAGGCAGCAGUGGGGAAUAUUGGACAAUGGGCGAAAGCCUGAUCCAGCCAUGCCGCGUGUGUGAAGAAGGUCUUAGGAUUGUAAAGCACUUUCAGUUGGGAGGCGUUACCAACAGAAUAAGCACCGGCUAACUUCGUGCCAGCAGCCGCGGUAAUUC
rnacentral:rRNA from 1 species